UACAGAGGUCUCGAGCGUUGUUCGGAUUCAUUGGGCGUAAAGGGUGCGUAGGCGGCGGGGCAAGUCUGAUGUGAAAUCCCGGGGCUCAACCCCGGAACUGCAUUGGAUACUGCCUUGCUAGAGUACUGGAGAGGAGACUGGAAUUUACGGUGUAGCAGUGAAAUGCGUAGAGAUCGUAAGGAAGACCAAUGGCGAAGGCAAGUCUCUGGACAGUUACUGACGCUGAGGCACGAAGGCCAGGGGAGCAAACGGG
rnacentral:rRNA from 1 species